rnacentral:rRNA from 1 species
UACGUAGGGGGCAAGCGUUAUCCGGAAUCAUUGGGCGUAAAGCGCGUGUAGGCGGUUCAGCAAGUCCGCUCUGAAAGCCCAGGGCUCAACCCUGGGAGGCGGGUGGAUACUGCUGGACUAGAGUCCGGAAGAGGGAGAUUGGAAUUCCUGGUGUAGCGGUGAAAAUGCGUAGAGAUCGGGGAGGAACACCCGUGGCGAAGGCGGCUCACUGGGCUGACCUUGACGCUGAGGCGCGAAGGCGUGGGGAGCGAACGAGG